rnacentral:sRNA from 1 species
GCUGGGCACAGUGGCGCAUGCCUGUAAUCCCAGUGGCUCAGGAGGCUGAGGCAGGAGGAUUGUGAGUUCAAAACCAGCCUCAGCAAUUUGGCAGGACCCUGUCUCUA